rnacentral:rRNA from 1 species
CAUGUCCUUUAGCUUUAUUUUUAAGGUCUAGUCUGCUCCAUGAAUUUUUAUAUUUAAAUAGCUGCAGUAUCUUGACUGUACAAAGGUAGCAUAAUAAAUAGUUUUUUAAUUGAAGACUAGAAUGAAGGAUUGGACGAGAAAAUAGCUGUCUCAAUAUUAAUAUUGUUGAAUUUAACUUUUUAGUACAAAGGCUAAAAUGGUUUUAAAAGACAAGAAGACCCUAUAGAGUUUUAUAAUUUGUAAUUUUUGGUUAUUUUAGUAUUAGAAAAAUUAAAAUUAUUAUGAAUUAUUUGGUUGGGGUGAUUGGAAAAUUUAAUAAACUUUUUAAUAUUUAAAAUUAUUUAUGUAUAAAUUAAUAAUCUAGAAAAUUAAAUUUAAAAUAAAUUACCUUAGGGAUAACAGCGUUAUAUGAAUUUAAAGUUCUUAUUUAAAUUUAUGAUUGCGACCUCGAUGUUGGAUUAAAAUAAAUUUUUAGUGCAGUAGCUAAAUAAUUAAGUCUGUUCGACUUUUAAAAUUUUACAUGAUCUGAGU